UACACACACGCUACAAUGGGAAGGGACAAUAGGUUGCGAAGCCGCGAGGCGGAGCCAAUCCAGCAAAACUUCCCUCAGUUCAGAUUGCAGGCUGCAACUCGCCUGCAUGAAGUUGGAGUUGCUAGUAAACGCAGGUCAGCCAUACUGCGUUGAAUACGUUCCCGGGGCUU
rnacentral:rRNA from 1 species